CCUACGGGUGGCUGCAGUGGGGAAUAUUGCGCAAUGGGCGAAAGCCUGACGCAGCGACGCCGCGUGGGGGAUGAAGGUCUUCGGAUCGUAAACCUCUGUCAGUAGGGAAGAACGGUCACUGUGCUAAUCAGCAGUGAAUUGACGGUACCUGCAAAGGAAGCACCGGCUAACUCCGUGCCAGCAGCCGCGGUAAUACGGAGGGUGCGAGCGUUAAUCGGAAUUACUGGGCGUAAGGCGCACGUAGGCGGUAUGUUAAGUCAAGUGUGAAAGCCCCGGGCUCAACGUGGGAAUUGCAUUGGAAACUGGGAGACUGGAGUGUGUGAGAGGAGAGUGGAAUUCCAGGUGUAGGAGUGAAAUCCGUAGAGAUCUGGAGGAACAUCAGUGGCGAAGGCGACUAUCUGGCACAUAACUGACGCUGAGGUGCGAAAGCGUGGGUAGCAAACAGGAUUAGAUACCCUAGUAGUC
rnacentral:rRNA from 1 species